CCCUUAGAUGUUCUGGGCUGCACACGUGCUACACUGGCAGGUUCAGCGAGCUUCAUGCCCUGAUCUGAAAGGAAUGGGAAAUCUUUUCAAAACCUGCCGUGCUUGGGAUAGAUGUUUGCAAUUAUUCAUCUUCAACGAGGAUUGCCUUGUAAGCGCACGUCAUCAGCGUGCAUUGAAUACGACCCUGUGUUCUGUACACACCGCCCGUCGCUCCUACCGAUUGAAGUUUUCGGUGAGUUGACAGGAGGAUUUUUUUGAAACUGGUUCGCCAGUGGAUUUUAGAUCCAAAUGCCAACGAAUCGAUGGCUUUAGAGGAAGGAGAAGUCGGAACA
rnacentral:rRNA from 1 species